GACGAACGCUGGCGGCGUGCUUAACACAUGCAAGUCGAACGGAAAGGCCCCUUUGGGGGUACUCGAGUGGCGAACGGGUGAGUAACACGUGAGUAACCUGCCCUUGACUUCGGGAUAACUUCAGGAAACUGGGGCUAAUACCGGAUAGGAAUCCUUGCUGCAUGGGGGGGGUUGGAAAGCUUCGGCGGUUUUGGAUGGACUCGCGGCUUAUCAGCUUGUUGGUGGGGUGGUGGCUUACCAAGGCUUUGACGGGUAGCCGGCCUGAGAGGGCGACCGGCCACCUUGGGACUGAGAUACGGCCCAGACUCCUACGGGAGGCAGCUGUGGGGAAUAUUGCACAAUGGGCGGCAGCCUGAUGCAGCAACGCCGCGUGCGGGAUGACGGCCUUCGGGUUGUAAACCGCUUUCAGCAGGGGCGAAGCUUGUGGUGACGGUACCUGCAGAAGAAGCACCGGCUAACUACGUG
rnacentral:rRNA from 1 species